CCUUUUUCAAUACUAUUUUUGACAUUUACACUUAUUGUGCUCCAGAAACAACACCUUUAGGAUUUGCUCCUAACUUUUUCUUUUUUUUUGUAUAUAUCAUGUGGAAAACCAAGUCCCAACAAUAAAAACUGAAUCUAUAAGGGAAUGACGAUGGAUGGGGCGAGGAGGUAGGCGAACGAACGCCUACCAGGUGCUCCUUUUACCAUAAAGGCGAGGAGUCCUGCGAAUGGGACGCCUCGCAGACUUGCGGUAACCUUCGAACGGGGGAAGGAUCCAGCACCUCGGCAAGUUGUGGCCGUCCAACUGGCACUAUCCACAGGUAUAGUACGAGUAUAACAUUGAAGAAAUCCACGAAGGAAUUCUCGCCGAAGAGCAAAAGCAAUAUCACUCUCUACCAUGAGCAAUACCUCAAGGACUUCUGAAAGUUUUACACUAUUCCGGAGGAAAACCCCAGCUGUAUUGUCCGAAUUUGACCAGUGCUCGAUGUGUCGCAGUCUACCGCAAUCCUGCGAGGCGUCGCAGUCGCCCAGGAUCCUUCGACCCAGCGCCAUUGUGGGAGGAUCCGUCGCUAACAGAACAAGGUGCUGAUAAAUUCUUCAUUUUCUAGGGAAAUUCCUUUAUUAAUAGACAAUUCUAUUAAUAAAUUAAUUUCCCUGGAAAAUGAUGAAGUUAUCAGCACCUAAAGUUACCAAGAUCAUGUUUAUCUAGAUUAGUUUAAUAUAUAUUUACAUAUAAAA